CAGGCCUGGAGGAGAGAGGUUAGAGGUUAGAGGUGUUACUACCACAGCAGGCCUGGAGGAGAGAGGUUAGAGGUUAGAGGUGUUACUACCACAGCAGGCCUGGAGGACAGAGGUUAGAGGUUAGAGGUGUUACUACCACAGCAGGCCUGGAGGAGAGAGGUUAGAGGUUAGAGGUGUUACUACCACAGCAGGCCUGGAGGAGAGAGGUUAGAGGUUAGAGGUGUUACUACCACAGCAGGCCUGGAGGAGAGAGGUUAGAGGUUA